CGGGGCGUAGCAUAGUUGGUAAUGCGCAUGGCUGGGGGUCAUGAGAUCGCUGGUUCGAGUCCAGUCGCCCCGACCA
rnacentral:tRNA from 1 species